CAUCACAUGUGACGAUCAAGCGUCAGCUUUGGCUGGGGUUAUCUCUGGUGCAGCCUCCGCCGCAGGCGCUUCUGCUGCAGUGCUGGGAGCUGCUUCUGCUGCUGGAGCCGAAGCGGCCGGGGCUGUGGCUUCGCCCUCCCAGUAGGAGGUCUUCUUCCCCGACUUGGAAACCGUCUGGAAGACAUCCUCAGGCUUGACAUUGCCUUUGACUGUCACCUUCUGCUCCUUGAGGUCUAUGUCAAAGGUCUCCACUCCUGAUUCAAGAAGAACAAGCAAUGAGCUGCAGAUCACCCAUAUCCAUGGGUGGUAAACUUGUGGUACAUAAACACUGAACAUUUUGACAGAUUAGGGUUUCCGCCUCAGAUCAAGUGAUUAAUUUACUGGUAAGUUUCCCAUAAGCUGGCAACAAGCUAGGCUUUGUUGGUAAGAGAUGCUAUAUAAUUGCUGUGAAAACAAAAUUAACCUUCCAUCUUGGUGAGCACUCUCCUGACUGCCCCGGCGCAACCCUCGCAUGACAUAGCAACCUUGAGGACAACAGUCUGCAUGGCCAAGUGGAGAUAAUCAGACCAGCUAGGAAAACAUCAUAUCAAGCUCUCACAUAUAGUACCAUCAAUACAAAAAUCAGGGACUCUUAAUGUUCUUCUACAUCUGGAGCUCAGAGAAAACGAAGAUAAUCAGACCAGCCAAACAUCAUAUAACGAAGCUAGCUAGCUCUCAUUACCAACAAUCAAUUACUAGAAACUCCAAUGUGUCAUUCUACAUCUAUUGAAACUCAGAACAUGAGGCGAUCAAUUAUGUUCUCCUCGUGUAGUUUGUUCCGGUUGCAAUCCUUAAUUUGGCCAUCAUAAUAAUAAUUCUACGAAUCAAAAACCCAUAUGUUGGAAACCUUCAACAUUUGCUAACAAUAGAUCGCUAUGUGAGAGAUCGGGGACAGGGGAUGAAGGAGAUUGGUUACCUCAGCGGCCAUGGCUCUCACGGAUCUCGGCGGAGAAGAACUAACCCAAGCUGAAGCAGCGGAGGGGGAGGAGGAGGGACUGGAAGAAGUCGGUCGGUCGGUGGGAGAUCGAUCGGCG
rnacentral:lncRNA from 1 species